rnacentral:ncRNA from 1 species
GUUAUCAAGAGUGGACGAGAGAAUCGGCUCAAUGACUCCACAGCAACCUGUUAAAAUAGCAAGGUGCUAAUACCGACAAAGCAAAGAGCUUUGGCUGAUGA